UACAGAGGUCUCAAGCGUUGUUCGGAUUCAUUGGGCGUAAAGGGUGCGUAGGUGGCGCCGUAAGUCGGGUGUGAAAUUUCGGAGCUUAACUCCGAAACUGCAUUCGAUACUGCGGUGCUUGAGGACUGGAGAGGAGACUGGAAUUCAUGGUGUAGCAGUGAAAUGCGUAGAGAUCAUGAGGAAGACCAGUGGCGAAGGCGGGUCUCUGGGCCGAUACUGACGCUGAGGAGCGAAAGCGUGGGGAGCAAACAGG
rnacentral:rRNA from 1 species